rnacentral:rRNA from 1 species
CACGUAGGGGGCAAGCGUUGUCCGGAUUUAUUGGGCGUAAAGAGCUCGUAGGUGGUUCGGUAAGUCGGGUGUGAAACCUCCAGGCUCAACCUGGAGACGCCACCCGAUACUGCUGUGACUGGAGUCCGGUAGGGGAGCGUGGAAUUCCUGGUGUAGCGGUGAAAUGCGCAGAUAUCAGGAGGAACACCGAUGGCGAAGGCAGCCUUCUGGGCCAACACUGACGCUCAUGCACGAAAGCGUGGGGAGCAAACAGG